AUUGAACGCUGGCGGCAGGCCUAACACAUGCAAGUCGAGCGAGCGGCGGAAGGGUGAGUAAUGUCUUGGAAACUGCCUGAUGGAGGGGGAUAACUACUGGAAACGGUAGCUAAUACCGCAUACCAUCAGAUGUGCCCAGAUGGGAUUAGCUAGUAGGUGGGGGAAUGGCUCACCUAGGCGACGCUCCCUAGCUGGUCUGAGAGUAGGACCAGCCACACUGGAACUGAGACACGGUCCAGACUCCUACGGGAGGCAGCAGUGGGGAAUAUUGCACAAUGGGCGCAAGCCUGAUGCAGCCAUGCCGCGUGUGGGAAGAAGGCCUUCGGGUUGUAAAGCACUUUCAGCGGGGAGGCGUUACCCGCAGAAGAAGCACCGGCUAACUCCGUGCCAGCCGCCGCGGUAAUUC
rnacentral:rRNA from 1 species